UUGAUUUUUGCCACCACCAUUUGAUUAUUAUUUUCUCAGGAUUUUUGCAUGCAAGUCGGGCGACUUUAUAUGCUUUAUAGCAGCUAUAGCAACGAUCUGCAAAAAUGUGCAUACUUCGUGUCCCGAUGCCCUUGGAGGAGAAAAGGUCCUCGGGGCUGGAAGGUCGGAUCCAACGUUUGGAAGACGAAGUUCCCGGGAUGGGCAGUGAAGUUCGCAAGAUGCGGGCUGAUUUAGAGGAGUUGAAGGCAGUGAACUCUGCAAUACUUCCCCAUUAGAACCCUGGACCACUUAAAGGAAGUGGAUGAUAAAACAUAUGGGAACAUGGAGAAAUAUAAUCCCAUAAAGGAGACGGUUACACCCUGGUGAACUACUUCAAAGACGUAAAAUAUAUAAGGGAAUACCGGAUCCAGGAGCCGAACCGCAAAAGAUUCCGAAUAAAAUAAUGUUCUAAAAAUUAGACAAAAAAAAAAA